rnacentral:rRNA from 1 species
UCUCUGUCAGCUCCUAGCACGAGUAAACCGCGAACGGCUCAUUAAAUCAGUCGAGGUUCCUUAGGUGACGCGGGUUGAUCCUACUCGGAUAACUGUGGCAAACCCAGAGCUAAUACGUGCAACCAGGCCCCGACCCCCUAGGGGAAGGGGCGCUUAUAUCAGUUCCAAAGCCAGCCCGGCGCCGGCCGCGGUGUACUCCGCGGACCCGGCCCGGUCUAACGUUUCGGUGAACUCCGGGUAUCUCUCGACCGAUCGCAGCGAGACCACGAGUCGGCGACGCACCUUUCAAAUGUCUGCCCUAUCAAAUCGAUGGUAGGGUAAACGCCUACCAUGUUUACGACGGGUGACGGGGAAUCAGGGUUCGAUUCCGGAGAGGGAGCAUGAGAAACGGCUACCACAUCCAAGGAAGGCAGCAGGCGCGCAAAUUACCCACUCCCGGCUCGGGGAGGUAGUGACGAAAAAUAACAAUACGGGACUCUAUCGAGGCCCCGUAAUUGAAAUGAGUGCACUUUAAAACCAUUCACGAGGAUCGAUCGGAGGGCAAGUCUGGUGCCAGCAGCCGCGGUAAUUCCAGCUCCGAUAGCGUAUACCAAAUUUGUUGCAGUUAAAAAGCUCGUAGUUGGAUCUCAGGUGCAGGCGGGCGGCGGUCCGGCCUCGGCCGGCAACCGCCCGUGCGGGCCGCUUCCCGAGAUCGUCGGCGGCGUCACGUCGAUCGUGCCGGACCGAGGUGCUUGCGCGGUAGGUUGGCGCGCGGGGGGGAUMGCGUUCGUCGCGCCUCUCGCCGCCUCCUCCUCCKCCUGGCCCUCCGGGAUGGCCGGUGUCUGUGCGUUUCGCCAGCCCGUCGGUCGCCCCGGGUCGGCCGACGCUUCGCUGCACCUGCCUCGGUCGGCUCCGAUCCCGGCGGCGCUCUUGGUUGAGCGCCCGGCCGGGCGGCCGGCGAUUUUACUUUGAAAAAAUUAGAGUGCUCAAAGCGGGCGUGCUCGCCGCUCGGAUAAUAUCGCAUGGAAUAAUGGAACAGGACCUCGCCGGUUUUGUUUCGCUGGUCUUUCGUAACCCGAGGUAAUGAUUAACAGGGACUGCCGGGGGCAUUCGUAUUGCGGGGGGAGAGGUGAAAUUCUGUGAUCCUCGCAAGACGUCCUACUGCGAAAGCAUUUGUCAAGAAUGUUUUCUUUAAUCAAGAACGAAAGUCAGAGGCGCGAAGACGAUCAGAUACCGUCGUAGUUCUGACCAUAAACUAUGCCGCGCGCAGAUCCGUAGGCAUUUCUAAGGGAUCUUGCGGGCAUCCCUCCGGGAAACCGUACGUUCGGGGUUCCGGGGGGAGUACGGUUGCAAAGCUGAAACUUAAAGGAAUUGACGGAAGGGCACCACCAGGAGUGGAGCCUGCGGCUUAAUUUGACUCAACACGGGAAAACUCACCCGGUCCGGACACCGCCAGGAUUGACAGAUUGAAAGCUCUUUCUUGAUUCGGUGGGUGGUGGUGCAUGGCCGUUCUUAGUUGGUGGAGCGAUUUGUCUGGUUGAUUCCGAUAACGAACGAGACUCUGGCCUAUUAACUAGUCCGGCGGCGAAUAUCCCCCGGUGUUCCGUUUGGGGCCCGGGGGCGCCGUCGACGACUUCUUAGAGGGACAAGCGGCGUUCAGCCGUCCGAGAUUGAGCGAUAACAGGUCUGUGAUGCCCUUAGAUGUCCGGGGCCGCACGCGCGCUACACUGAAGGCAUCAGCGGGCCGACCUUCCCCAGCCCGAAAGGGCCGGGAAACCCGUUGAAUCGCCUUCGUGCUAGGGAUCGGGGUUUGCAAUUGUUCCCCGUGAACGAGGAAUUCCCAGUAGGGGCGAGUCAUCAGCCGGCCCCGAUUACGUCCCUGCCCUUUGUACACACCGCCCGUCGCUACUAUCGAUUGAGCAGUUUAGUGAGGGCCUCGGAUCGGUGCAUGGCGGUCGCCGAGG